GGGGAGGUCGUGUGUGAUUAAUUCGAUGCAACGCGAAGAACCUUACCUGGGUUUGACAUACACCGGAAAGCCGUGGAGACACGGCCCCCCUUGUGGUCGGUGUACAGGUGGUGCAUGGCUGUCGUCAGCUCGUGUCGUGAGAUGUUGGGUUAAGUCCCGCAACGAGCGCAACCCUUGUCCUGUGUUGCCAGCGGAUUAUGCCGGGGACUCGCAGGAGACUGCCGGGGUCAACUCGGAGGAAGGUGGGGACGACGUCAAGUCAUCAUGCCCCUUAUGUCCAGGGCUUCACACAUGCUACAAUGGCCGGUACAGAGGGCUGCGAUACCGUGAGGUGGAGCGAAUCCCUUAAAGCCGGUCUCAGUUCGGAUCGGGGUCUGCAACUCGACCCCGUGAAGUCGGAGUCGCUAGUAAUCGCAGAUCAGCAACGCUGCGGUGAAUACGUUCCCGGGCCUUGUACCCCCCCCCCCCGUCCA
rnacentral:rRNA from 1 species